AACCCUUUAUGGAAUAACCUAAGUUCAAUGGCCGCGGUAUUUCUGACCGUGAUAAUGUAGCGAAAUCAAUCGUCACUUAAUUGCUGACCGGUAUGAAUGGCAUAACGAGUGUUCUCCUGUCUCAGAAAAAUCCUCUAUGAAAUUGUAGAGGUCGUGCAUAUACGGCCUUAAUCUUGUAAGACGAAAAGACCCUAUUGAGCUUUACUAUCUUCUUUUCCUAAUUUAUAUCUUCUGUUAAACCAACAAAAAGCUAUUACCCGGAAAGAGUGUUAGUUUCGUUGGGGCGACGGCCUUUUAAAAAGUAACAAAGGCUCACAAAGAGUUAUUUAACAAUAUUUAUCCUUUGACUGUUAGGGUUAUAACCCAAACAGACACAAACGUGGGUUAUAAAUUUCCACCUAAAUUAACUAGGUGCCAUAACAUAAAAGUUACCAUAGGGAUAACAGCGUAAUUUUGUCGAAGAGUUCUUAUCGAUGACAAAGA
rnacentral:rRNA from 1 species